rnacentral:rRNA from 1 species
UACGGAGGGUGCAAGCGUUAAUCGGAAUUACUGGGCGUAAGGCGCGCGUAGGUGGUUGAGUAAGCGAGAUGUGAAAGCCCCGGGCUUAACCUGGGAACGGCACUUCGAACUGCUCGGCUAGAGUGUGGUAGAGGGUAGUGGAAUUUCCUGUGUAGCGGUGAAAUGCGUAGAUAUAGGAAGGAACACCAGUGGCGAAGGCGGCUACCUGGACCAACACUGACACUGAGGUGCGAAAGCGUGGGGAGCAAACAGG